AGAGUUUGAUCCUGGCUCAGAGCGAACGCUGGCGGCAGGCUUAACACAUGCAAGUCGAGCGGGCGUAGCAAUACGUCAGCGGCAGACGGGUGAGUAACGCGUGGGAACGUACCUUUUGGUUCGGAACAACACAGGGAAACUUGUGCUAAUACCGGAUAAGCCCUUACGGGGAAAGAUUUAUCGCCGAAAGAUCGGCCCGCGUCUGAUUAGCUAGUUGGUGAGGUAACGGCUCACCAAGGCGACGAUCAGUAGCUGGUCUGAGAGGAUGAUCAGCCACAUUGGGACUGAGACACGGCCCAAACUCCUACGGGAGGCAGCAGUGGGGAAUAUUGGACAAUGGGCGCAAGCCUGAUCCAGCCAUGCCGCGUGAGUGAUGAAGGCCCUAGGGUUGUAAAGCUCUUUUGUGCGGGAAGAUAAUGACGGUACCGCAAGAAUAAGCCCCGGCUAACUUCGUGCCAGCAGCCGCGGUAAUACGAAGGGGGCUAGCGUUGCUCGGAAUCACUGGGCGUAAAGGGUGCGUAGGCGGGUCUUUAAGUCAGGGGUGAGAUCCUGGAGCUCAACUCCAGAACUGCCUUUGAUACUGAAGAUCUUGAGUUCGGGAGAGGUGAGUGGAACUGCGAGUGUAGAGGUGAAAUUCGUAGAUAUUCGCAAGAACACCAGUGGCGAAGGCGGCUCACUGGCCCGAUACUGACGCUGAGGCACGAAAGCGUGGGGAGCAAACAGGAUUAGAUACCCUAGUAGUCC
rnacentral:rRNA from 1 species